rnacentral:tRNA from 1 species
GGGGCCGUGGCUCAGUGGUAGAGCGCCCGCCUGGCACGUGUGAGGUGCUGGGUUCUAUCCUCAGCACCCCA